rnacentral:rRNA from 1 species
CCGGGGGUGCGUGAGGAUUUUGGACAUGGGCGCAAGCCUGAUCCAGCAAUGCCGCGUGCAGGAUGAAGGCCUUCGGGUUGUAAACUGCUUUUGUACGGAACGAAACGGUGAGCUCUAAUACAGUUUGCUAAUGACGGUACCGUAAGAAUAAGCACCGGCUAACUACGUGCCAGCAGCCGCGGUAAU